GACGAACCGUGCGAACGUUGUUCGGAUUCACUGGGCUUAAAGGGCGCGUAGGCGGGCCAUCAAGUCCGGGGUGAAAUCCUCCAGCUUAACUGGAGAACAGCCUUGGAUACUGGUGGCCUGGAGGAAGGUAGGGGCAUGUGGAACUUCCGGUGGAGCGGUGAAAUGCGUAGAUAUCGGAAGGAACGCCGGUGGCGAAAGCGACGUGCUGGACCUUUUCUGACGCUGAGGCGCGAAAGCCAGGGGAGCAAACGGG
rnacentral:rRNA from 1 species